rnacentral:lncRNA from 1 species
UUUUAGCCCUAAAAGUCUAAAACUCAUGUCUUCUUCCUUUCGUUUGGUCCGAAAUAGCAACAUCAGUAUAUCACGGCACCAGGCCACCACCUAGUCACAUACUCUGCCUUAUUCCUUUCGUUUCCUGGUAGCUUUUCCGGUAAGUCUUCGGUUCCUCAACAACUUAAACAGAAACUCAAUUUGCACCUACAACUCUUAUGUACUCAUCAAUACUUGGCGUUGACUUAAUUGCAUCUCAACAUUAUUGAUCUAAAUCAGUAUUUCGGCUAUGUCUCUCCACUGCACGCAUUACUCUGUUCUGAAUUUUAGUCUUCCAUUUGAAGGAAUAUAAUGUUAGUUAUACUCCGAUGCUUCAAAUUGCAAUAGCGUUUUGGUAUAUUGUCUGUUGAGAUUUCCAUAUCAGUAUUGAAUUCUAUUCCCAAUCUUUUCUGGCGAGAAAAAUUAAAUUUACAGAUGAGGUCUCUGUCAAUAUCUGUAGUUGAUUAUGUUGUAUGAGUUGAACUCGGUGAUGAACUUUUGAUUUUUUUUUUUUUUUAUUAUUAUUAUCUGUUGUGCAUUCUGAUAAUGCUAGUUGACCUUAUGUGUAAAAAGAAACGCGAGUGUGAUCGUUUCAUUUCACUAAAAGAUAAUAGUACAGAUAAAGGAAAUCCGAUUCUUUGCCAAAGAAAAUGGACUCUGAAGAAAUAGAUAAUAGAGCGUCUAAAAUCCAGUAUUUGAUUAGGCACUGAUAGAGUCACCAAAUUGCUGCAACACAUGAUACAACCAUGAAUGAAAAUGCCACCCACGUAACCAUAUAAGCUGCUGCUAAUAUCAGCUUCAAUGGCUUUCUCCUAAAACGAAUAACACCAACUAACACUGCAACAAUGCAUAAGGAUGCAAAGAAUGCAAUGUGAUUGCUGAUUGCAAAGAUCUUGAAUGCUCGUUUUUUGCCCAUAACU